GAUGAACGCUGGCGGCGUGCCUAAUACAUGCAAGUCGAGCGAACGGACGAGAAGCUUGCUUCUCUGACGUUAGCGGCGGACGGGUGAGUAACACGUGGAUAACCUACCUAUAAGACUGGGAUAACUUCGGGAAACCGGAGCUAAUACCGGAUAAUAUUUUGAACCGCAUGGUUCAAUAGUGAAAGACGGUCUUGCUGUCACUUAUAGAUGGAUCCGCGCUGCAUUAGCUAGUUGGUAAGGUAACGGCUUACCAAGGCAACGAUGCAUAGCCGACCUGAGAGGGUGAUCGGCCACACUGGAACUGAGACACGGUCCAGACUCCUACGGGAGGCAGCAGUAGGGAAUCUUCCGCAAUGGGCGAAAGCCUGACGGAGCAACGCCGCGUGAGUGAUGAAGGUCUUCGGAUCGUAAAACUCUGUUAUUAGGGAAGAACAUAUGUGUAAGUAACUAUGCACGUCUUGACGGUACCUAAUCAGAAAGCCACGGCUAACUACGUG
rnacentral:rRNA from 1 species